rnacentral:rRNA from 1 species
GGCUUUCUGAGUUGUAAACCUCUUUCAGCAGGGACGAUUGUGACGGUACCUGCAGAAGAAGCCCCGGCCAACUACGUGCCAGCAGCCGCGGUAAUACGUAGGGGGCAAGCGUUGUCCGGAUUUAUUGGGCGUAAAGAGCUCGUAGGCGGCUUGGCAAGUCGGAUGUGAAACCUCCAGGCUCAACCUGGAGUCGCCAUUCGAUACUGCCAUGGCUAGAGUUUGGUAGGGGACCACGGAAUUCCUGGUGUAGCGGUGAAAUGCGCAGAUAUCAGGAGGAACACCAGCGGCGAAGGCGGUGGUCUGGGCCAAUACUGACGCUGAGGAGCGAAAGCGUGGGGAGCGAACAGGAUUAGAUACCCUGGUAGUCCACGCCGUAAACGUUGGGCACUAG